rnacentral:sRNA from 1 species
ACAACAACAAAAAAACAAAGAGAGUCUUCUG